UUGGGUUAAGUCCCGCAACGAGCGCAACCCUCGUUUUUAGUUGCCAUCAUUCAGUUGGGCACUCUAGAGAGACUGCCGGUGACAAACCGGAGGAAGGUGGGGAUGACGUCAAGUCAGCAUGCCCCUUACGUCCUGGGCUACACACGUACUACAAUGCUGCGGACAAAGGGUUGCAAGCGCGCGAGUGCAAGCUAAUCCCAUAAACCGUGGCUCAGUUCAGAUUGCAGGCUGCAACUCGCCUGCAUGAAGGCGGAAUCGCUAGUAAUCGCAGGUCAGCAUACUGCGGUGAAUACGUUCCCGGGCCUUGUACACACCGCCCGUCACACCAUGGAAGCUGGUCACGCCCGAAGUAGUUAUCCUAACCUUUCGAGGGGGGAGAUUCCGAAGGUAGGGCUGGUGACUGGGGUGAAGUCGUAACAAGGUACCA
rnacentral:rRNA from 1 species